rnacentral:rRNA from 1 species
GAUGAACGCUGGCGGCGUGCUUAAUACAUGCAAGUCGAGCGAACAGACGCGGCGCUUGCUCCUUUCACGAUUGCGGAGCGCGUGAGUGUAACACGUGGAUCACCUACUUGUCAUACGGGGAUCACUACGGGACACCGGCGCUAAUACCGGAUAAUAUCUUGCAGCGCAUUGUGGAAUGGUGAGAGUCGGUGUUGGUGGCUGUACUAGAGGGAUACGAGCCGGUUUGGCUAGUUGGUAGGUUAAAGGCUUACCAAGGCAAGGAUGCGUGAGCGACGGGAGGGGGUGAUCGGCGACCCGGGAACUGAGACACGGUCCAGACUCCUACGAGAGGCAGCAGUAGGGAAUGUGCGGCAAUGGGCGAAAGCUUGACGGAGCAACGCCGCGUGUGUGACGAAGGCCUUCGGAUCGUAAAACUCUGUUAUUAGGGAAGAACAAAUGUGGCAGUAACUAUGCACGUCGUGACGGUACCUAAUCAGAAAGCCCCGGCUAACUACGUG